rnacentral:rRNA from 1 species
AGUCUGAUGGAGCAACGCCGCGUGAGUGAAGAAGGGUUUCGGCUCGUAAAGCUCUGUUGUUAAAGAAGAACGUGGGUGAGAGUAACUGUUCACCCAGUGACGGUAUUUAACCAGAAAGCCACGGCUAACUACGUGCCAGCAGCCGCGGUAAUACGUAGGUGGCAAGCGUUAUCCGGAUUUAUUGGGCGUAAAGCGAGCGCAGGCGGUCUUUUAAGUCUAAUGUGAAAGCCUUCGGCUCAACCGAAGAAGUGCAUUGGAAACUGGGAGACUUGAGUGCAGAAGAGGACAGUGGAACUCCAUGUGUAGCGGUGAAAUGCGUAGAUAUAUGGAAGAACACCAGUGGCGAAGGCGGCUGUCUGGUCUGUAACUGACGCUGAGGCUCGAAAGCAUGGGUAGCGAACAGGAUUAGAUACCCUGGUAGUCCAUGCCGUAAACGAUGAUUACUAAGUGUUGGAGGGUUUCCGCCCUUCAGUGCUGCAGCUAACGCAUUAAGUAAUCCGCCUGGG